GAAGUUGGCUCAGUUGCCAGGCUGCAGAGAAUCCAGUCACCAAUCUAUGCAGGCCCACAAGUUGCCUGAGGGCUUGUUGUUGGGUGGGGCCUGUCUCUAGGGGGGGCUGCCUGCCCUGGCUGAGCUGGAUUAAAUCGGUGCUCUAGCGGGUGGGGCAGACCCUGGGCUAGCAGGCCUCAGGGAGAACUCCAAUGGCGUCUGUGUCAGCACGCCCACACCAGGCCACAACAAUGGCCGCCGCCAAUGUCCCAGUCCCUGGAGAGGUCUCACCCCUCACCGAGUUGCACUCAGGGUCUAUUACAAUAGUGAAUGAACUAUCUAUUGCCAAUCCACAAACUCUUUAGUACCAGAUUGCCAGUAAAUGAAUAGAGAAAUUCAAAGAUCAGUUGUCCUCAUUGUUUGUGAUAGUGUUUCUCUUUCAUAAUCCUGGUGUUCCACAAAUGUCUGGUGUCCUUGGAACCUGGACUGUGGUGGUGUCUCCUAUGAUGCCUCUACCGUCUUCCUGCUCAAUGGAGCAUUAUAGACAGGAUUUGCAGAGCUGGAGCAAAGGCUAUCUGGGACAAGGAGAGACAACCCUUCCCACAAAGUGAAGCCUCCUUUAAAGCAUCCUUAAAUCAGAGGACAUUUCUGAGAUAGUGGGAGCAAAGAAAUUCCUCACUCUGACUUCACCUAGACAGUGGUCCCCACCUGGAUGCAUUCCAGUGAGAAGAAGAUGUGGGGAAAACACAGAGAAGUGAUGAACAUCCUAACUGCCUGAGGCAUAAUGACAACCUAGACAGACUGACCUUCUAGAUAGAUUUACUACUCUGAACAGACUGAUAUGUCCAGAUACAAUGAAAUAGCUGGGAUCCACAGGUCAUCUUUAUAUACUGACAACAUAUGGACACUGAUAGGUUGAUCCAAACCUACUGAGAGGCUCACAAUACUCAACCCUUAAUACAAAAUGACACCUCUCAACACAAAAGAAAGGCCACUCCAGAUACACCACACACACUCCAGAACCCAUGAAGUCCCCUGCCCACACUGCCCUGGCAUCCUUAUUUGGGGGGAGGUUGGACUGAGAUCAUUAGGAGCCCCUGUUGACCAUCUUUUAUUUCUUCUUUCCAUUUAUAAAAUAUUUUGAAACAGUUCCCUAAGUUUCAGCUUGGCAAGGAUUGCACAUGCUCAUUCA